GAUGAACGCUGGCGGCGUGCCUAAUACAUGCAAGUCGAGCGAACAGACGAGGAGCUUGCUCCUCUGACGUUAGCGGCGGACGGGUGAGUAACACGUGGAUAACCUACCUAUAAGACUGGGAUAACUUCGGGAAACCGGAGCUAAUACCGGAUAAUAUAUUGAACCGCAUGGUUCAAUAGUGAAAGACGGUUUUGCUGUCACUUAUAGAUGGAUCCGCGCCGCAUUAGCUAGUUGGUAAGGUAACGGCUUACCAAGGCAACGAUGCGUAGCCGACCUGAGAGGGUGAUCGGCCACACUGGAACUGAGACACGGUCCAGACUCCUACGGGAGGCAGCAGUAGGGAAUCUUCCGCAAUGGGCGAAAGCCUGACGGAGCAACGCCGGGGGAGGGAUGAAGGUUUUCGGAUCGUAAAACUCUGUUAUUAGGGAAGAACAAAUGUGUAAGUAACUAUGCACGUCUUGACGGUACCAAAUCAGAAAGCCACGGCUAACUACGU
rnacentral:rRNA from 1 species